rnacentral:rRNA from 1 species
UACGAAGGGGGGCUAGCGUUGCUCGGAAUCACUGGGCGUAAAGCGCACGUAGGCGGAUUGUUAAGUCAGGGGUGAAAUCCUGGAGCUCAACUCCAGAACUGCCUUUGAUACUGGCGAUCUUGAGUCCGGGAGAGGUGAGUGGAACUCCGAGUGUAGAGGUGAAAUUCGUAGAUAUUCGGAAGAACACCAGUGGCGAAGGCGGUUCUCUGGGCAUUACCUGACGCUGAGGAGCGAAAGUGUGGGGAGCGAACAGG